rnacentral:rRNA from 1 species
CCAUGAGUAACGCAGCUAACGCGUGAAGUAGACCGCCUGGGGAGUACGGUCGCAAGAUUAAAACUCAAAUGAAUUGACGGGGGCCCGCACAAGCGGUGGAUUAUGUGGAUUAAUUCGAUGCAACGCGAAAAACCUUACCUGGCCUUGACAUGUACCGAAUUUGGGAGAGAUCUCUUAGUGCUCGAAAGAGAGCGGUAACACAGGUGCUGCAUGGCUGUCGUCAGCUCGUGUCGUGAGAUGUUGGGUUAAGUCCCGCAACGAGCGCAACCCUUGCCAUUAAUUGCCAUCAUUUAGUUGGGCACUUUAAUGGGACUGCCGGUGACAAACCGGAGGAAGGUGGGGAUGACGUCAGGUCCUCAUGGCCCUUAUGGCCAGGGCUUCACACGUAAUACAAUGGUCGGUACAGAGGGUUGCCAAGCCGCGAGGUGGAGCCAAUCCCAGAAAGCCGAUCGUAGUCCGGAUUGUAGUCUGCAACUCGACUACAUGAAGUCGGAAUCGCUAGUAAUCGCGGAUCAGCAUGUCGCGGUGAAUACGUUCCCGGGCCUUGUACACACCGCCCGUCACACCAUGGGAGUGGGUUUUACCAGAAGUAGGUAGUCUAACCGCAAGGAGGGCGCUUACCACGGUAGUAUUCAUGACUGGGGUGAAGUCGUAACAAGGUAACCGUA